UCGAGCGAACCUUCGGGUUAGCGGCGAACGGGUGAGUAACACGUGGGCAACCUGCCCCGAGCUCUGGGAUAACCCCGGGAAACCCGGGGCUAAUACCGGAUAUGACCCGAGAAGACAUCUUCUCGGGUGGAAAGUUUUUCGGCUCGGGAUGGGCCCGCGGCCUAUCAGCUUGUUGGUGGGGUAACGGCCUACCAAGGCGACGACGGGUAGCCGGCCUGAGAGGGCGACCGGCCACACUGGGACUGAGACACGGCCCAG
rnacentral:rRNA from 1 species